rnacentral:misc_RNA from 1 species
AAAACGAUUAGCUGAAAAUCAAAUCCCAACAACAGCCAUCCACUUUCAGCUGAUCAGAAGAUCUGAUUACAAACCUAAUUGAAACGGCAAUGAAUCGUCCAACAAAGUCAAAUCAAACCCUAAUCCUAAUAGAAACAAAACCCACGCACGGCACAUCAAAAUCAAAACAAUCGGACAUGCGAAGAAAACUAAGGGAGAUGAGAUCUGAUCUGAUACAAUUCAAU